AGAUCCCACCGGGUGUUUUCUGGAUUGAAAAAUCACUCGCUCAGAAGCUAUAUAUUGCCAUAUGGCUGUUUGAGUUGUUGCAGUUAAAUAAAAGAAUUUUGAAGUCAAAAAAUCUUGACUAAUGAACUAAUUAAAGUAAUAUGGACAUUUAUCCCAUGCAGUUCUUGGUAUUCUACAUCUUCGAUAUCGCUCUAAAGUCGAUCUUAAGAAGGUAUAGAAAAUUGUUUUUUAUCAUUUAGCUUGACGUUUAUUUAUAGUUACGAUUAAAUUUUGUAUGCAGCAAACCCUCGCAUUCCUGACUUAAAUUUUUACUGUUGGACCAUGCAUCUAUACUCUCGAUCAACUAUCCUUACUGACUUAUUAAUUUGCUGUUUAUUUUCUAUUUUUUAGAUCGCAAAUUAUUCAAAUCAGUAAACCCGCACUGGGCGGUCAAGUAAAUUUUUCUCUCUACACUUUUUUGUUUUACUGCCCGAUUUUUUUACAUGCAUAUUCGUCAUCAGGACGCAUGACUUUAGGUAGACGUGCUUUUGCAUGCCGAAUUAUUUCAUACAACUUGUGAUUUUUCAUUAGAAUGUUUUGGAUAUAGAAGUUUAGAAAUUUAACCUCCCAUGUAUCGAUGUAUAAAGUUACAAUGAUGUUUCCAACACCCAUGCAUGUUCCCUGAAACAAUUCGUACUAUUUAGUCCUGGAUGAAACUUUACAAAAUAAAUCCACGCUAUUGGUAGAGUAUAUAUAGACCAUGCAUGAUUACUAUACUUUUGUACUGAGUCUUCUACCAAAGUUCACUGGGGACAGUUGUAUGAAGUAUUUCAUAGUGCAUGCAUUAACGUGUUUACACGAGGAGUUGAGAGAGCCCUGCUCAUCUUCCUUGGAAUUUAGGAUCACAAGAUCUAGGCUCUCCUAGGAUUGCAGUUAAGGCCACACAAUAACGAAUGAAAUAAAUUCGUUAACUAGUUAGGUUAGGACUCAAGCGUGAUCGCUGCGCAUAGUUGACCCCUCAGAAAAAUCCCCAAUAGAAACUUUUAUUUUUGUCCUGGAUGUGUCCUUGGUACUUGGAUUUGUCACCUUGGAUUAUGGGAUUGUGGAUUAUUUAUACAUCAUUGUGGAUUAUUUACACAUCAUUGUGGAUUAUUUACACAUCAUUGUGGAUUAUUAUACAUCAUUGUGGAUUAUUAUACAUCAUUAUGGAUUAUUAUAUAUCAUUGUGGAUUAUUAUUACAGCCGCCGCAAUGGACGGAUGGGCACCGGUGUCUCAUCCAGAAGAAAGAAGACGUCGUAAGGUUAGAAUCCUGGUGGUCAACAAAUUGUCGGCACUUUCGUAUUCGGAUUUGUGCAUGUGUAAACGUAACCUUAGGAAACCCUCGCAUGUGUAUUUAAGAACUAGUUUACUACCAGGGGGGGGGAGUGGAAUGAAACAUUAUAAUGGACAUACUGCAUAUCAAAUACGAACUAAUCUCCUAGCCUAAGUACUGCAUGAAAUUAUGCAUGCAGUUAUACUUUCUUGUAAAAUCUUCGGAAAGUCUGAAGAAACGUACAGAUGACCAGGAAAUUAAGUGUGUUGUGUGCUUAUUAUAAUAUCGUGUGUUUAUCAUAUAUUAUGUGCAUGUAUACGGUUUACAGUUCGGAAUAUUUCGGUCAAUUCGGUGCGCGCAUAGGAUUAGGUUGCAAAGCGUUCGGAUACGGGGGGUUGCCCCAUAGGCUAUAAUCUUCAUAUCAAUAAUAAUCAUGAGGUUAGGAAUAUGAAAAUAAUACAUAAUUAGGUUGUUAUAAAUAUAUAUUUCGAAUUAUCAUCAUAAAAUAUGAAUUCGUUGUAAAUGCAUGUAUAUAAAUAUGUCGAUGAUUAGGUUAGAAUAAAAUAUAUAUGGUUAUGAUGAUUAGGUUAGAAUAAAAUAAAAUAUAUUAUAUUUUCUAUAUACUAUAUAUAAUGUCUAUAUUGUGUCGGACUUUAAAGUCUGACAUAAUAAUUAAGAGUGAAGCUUUACUAGUAUGAAAACUUGCAUCACAAGUGAAAAGUAUAAAGCCACUUAAAAAUUUG
rnacentral:lncRNA from 1 species